rnacentral:lncRNA from 1 species
AGCUGUUGGAGGAAAAAAGUUUAUGUCAAUUAAAAUCCUGAAUUUCUCUGAUCUGGAAAGAAAAACUGCUAUGAACUCUUUAGCUGCAAGUACUUGCAUCUCAUAAAUCCAAUUUCCUCAUUUUACAUAUGGAGACACCAAGACCCAAGAAGGAAAAGCAACUAUCAACUGUUUAUGCCAAGUUGGUCGAUAUCAUGGCUAAACUGGAGCCCAGAUGGAGCACUGACACUUGGUUGAGCUAAAAUGC